GAACGCACCUUGCACUCCUUGGUAUUCCGAGGAGUAUGCCUGUUUGAGUGUCAUUAAAUUCUCAAACCUCACUAGUUUUGCGACUUGUUGAGGCUUUGGAUGUGGGGGUUGCUGGCUUUCACGAGUCAGCUCUCCUUAAAUGCAUUAGCGGUUACUGUUCGCUACAUCCUGGUGUGAUAAUAUCAACGCCUAGUAGUGAUGUUAAGUGUAGCUGCUUCAAACCGUCUGAGAAUUCGGACAAUCUGAACUAUUUGACCUCAAAUCAGGUAGGACUACCCGCUGAACUUAAG
rnacentral:misc_RNA from 1 species